rnacentral:rRNA from 1 species
UGCAGUCGAGCGGUAAGGCUCCUUCGGGGGUACACGAGCGGCGAACGGGUGAGUAACACGUGAGUAAUCUGCCCCUCACUUCGGGAUAAGCCUCGGAAACGAGGUCUAAUACCGGAUACGACCACUUCCUGCAUGGGAUGGUGGUGGAAAGUUUUUUCGGUGGGGGAUGUGCUCGCGGCCUAUCAGCUUGUUGGUGGGGUAAUGGCCUACCAAGGCUUCGACGGGUAGCCGGCCUGAGAGGGUGACCGGCCACACUGGGACUGAGACACGGCCCAGACUCCUACGGGAGGCAGCAGUGGGGAAUAUUGGACAAUGGGCGGAAGCCUGAUCCAGCAACGCCGCGUGAGGGAUGACGGCCUUCGGGUUGUAAACCUCUUUCAGCGGGGACGAAGCGCAAGUGACGGUACCCGCAGAAGAAGCACCGGCCAACUACGUGCCAGCAGCCGCGGUAAUACGUAGGGUGCGAGCGUUGUCCGGAAUUAUUGGGCGUAAAGGGCUCGUAGGCGGUUUGUCGCGUCGGGAGUGAAAACACCGGGCUUAACUCGGUGCUUGCUUUCGAUACGGGCAGACUAGAGGUAUUCAGGGGAGAACGGAAUUCCUGGUGUAGCGGUGAAAUGCGCAGAUAUCAGGAGGAACACCGGUGGCGAAGGCGGUUCUCUGGGAAUAUCCUGACGCUGAGGAGCGAAAGUGUGGGGAGCGAACAGGAUUAGAUACCCUGGUAGUCCACACCGUAAACGUUGGGCGCUAGGU